AGCAACGCCGCGUGAGUGAAGAAGGUUUUCGGAUCGUAAAACUCUGUUAGUAAGGGAAGAACACGUACGAGAGUAACUGCUCGUACCUUGACGGUACCUUAUUAGAAAGCCAACGGCUAACUACGUGCCAGCAGCCGCGGUAAUACGUAGGUGGCAAGCGUUGUCCGGAAUUAUUGGGCGUAAAGCGCGCGCAGGCGGUUCUUUAAGUCUGAUGUGAAAGCCCACGGCUCAACCGUGGAGGGUCAUUGGAAACUGGAGAACUUGAGUACAGAAGAGGAAAGCGGAAUUCCACGUGUAGCGGUGAAAUGCGUAGAGAUGUGGAGGAACACCAGUGGCGAAGGCGGCUUUCUGGUCUGUAACUGACGCUGAGGCGCGAAAGCGUGGGGAGCAAACAGGAUUAGAUACCCUGGUAGUCCACGCCGUAAACGAUGAGUGCUAAGUGUUAGGGGGUUUCCGCCCCUUAGUGCUGCAGCUAACGCAUUAAGCACUCCGCCUGGGGAGUACGGCCGCAAGGCUG
rnacentral:rRNA from 1 species